UAUUCUAUUUUUCUACUUAUGAACUUUUCUCUGUAUUUGUACAACUUGUUCAAAAGCUCAUUUAUCAAGAACAAUAACAAAGCUCCUACAUGUCUUGUUGUGAAACUGCAGUAUUAUGGCCUGUUUGUAUGGGGGUGAAUUCUCUUUUUUUUUUUUUUUGUUAUCCAUAUGUAUUUUUUUUUGUUAUCCAUAAGUUGUACCUGUUAUACUCAUUGUUUCCUAUCAUGUAAUUUGGCAGAAUUUUUAUUCCGCAUUCGAGGAAGAGAGAGUUUGUGGUCCCAAGCUUAGUAUUCAGUAGAGGGUAUUGAAGACAAUGAUCUGCUAGUCGAGUCCGCCCGCAUAGUUUUAUAAAAGGGAAAAGGUUAUAUUAGACAAUAGGUUGAAUCUGGAAUGGAUGUGAAUUUUGUGUAUAUGGAUUGAAUGUGGAUGGUUUAUGAUAUGGAUUGAAUGUGAAAGAAUGUGGAUUGUUUACAAUAU